GGGCCAGUGGCGCAGUCCGGUAACCGCAAGGUUUUUGCACGGCCGGUGGUUGGGCAAUAGCGUACCUGCCUCGCACGCAGGGGGUCCUGAGUUCAAAUCUCAGCUGGUCCA
rnacentral:tRNA from 1 species